rnacentral:rRNA from 1 species
UCCGGUUGAUCCUGCCGGGCCCGACCGCUAUCGGGGUGGGACUAAGCCAUGGGAGUCGUGCGCCCCCGGACGCGGGGGCGCGGCGGACGGCUGAGUAACACGUAGCCAACCUACCCUCGGGACGGGGAUAACCCCGGGAAACUGGGGCUAAUCCCCGAUAGGGGACGGGCGGUGGAACUCCCCCGUCCCCGAAAGGGCACGCGGAGCACCCUCCCCGCGUGCCGCCCGAGGAUGGGGCUGCGGCCCAUCAGGUAGUUGGCGGGGUAACGGCCCGCCAAGCCGAUAACGGGUAGGGGCCUUGGGAGAGGGAGCCCCCAGAUGGGCACUGAGACAAGGGCCCAGGCCCUACGGGGUGCACCAGGCGCGAAACCUCCGCAAUGCGGGCAACCGUGACGGGGUCACCCCGAGUGCCGCCCUUGCGGCUGUUCCCCGCUGUAAAAAGGCGGGGGAGUAAGCGGGGGGCAAGUCUGGUGUCAGCCGCCGCGGUAAUACCAGCCCCGCGAGCGGUCGGGACGCUUAUUGGGCCUAAAGCGCCCGUAGCCUGGCCCGGCAAGUCCCCCCCUAAAGCCCCGGGCUCAACCCGGGGAGUGGGGGGGAUACUGCCGGGCUAGGGGGCGGGAGAGGCCGAGGGUACUCCCGGGGUAGGGGCGAAAUCCGAUAAUCCCGGGAGGACCACCAGUGGCGAAGGCGCUCGGCUGGAACGCGCCCGACGGUGAGGGGCGAAAGCCGGGGGAGCAAACCGGAUUAGAUACCCGGGUAGUCCCGGCUGUAAACGAUGCGGGCUAUGGUGUUGGGCGGGCUUGGCGCCCGCCCAGUGCCGCAGGGAAGCCGUUAAGCCCGCCGCCUGUGGAGUGCGGCCGCAAGGCUGAAACGUUAGCAUGAAUUGGCGGGGGA